GACAGAGGGUGCAAACGUUGCUCGGAAUCACUGGGCGUAAAAGGGCGUGUAGGCGGGACGGUAAGUCGGGCGUGAAAUCCCUAGGCUCAACCUAGGAACUGCACUCGAAACUACCAUUCUUGAGUGUCGGAGAGGAAAGCGGAAUUCCUGGUGUAGAGGUGAAAAUUCGUAGAUAUCAGGAGGAACACCAGUGGCGAAGGCGGCUUUCUGGGACGAAUAACUGACGUGGAGAACGCGAAAGCGUGGGGAGCAAACAGG
rnacentral:rRNA from 1 species